rnacentral:rRNA from 1 species
GGGCGGAGUUUGAUCCUGGCUCAGGAUGAACGCUGGCGGUCUGCUUAACACAUGCAAGUCGAACGGAGUGCUUCGGCACUUAGUGGCGGACGGGUGAGUAACGCGUGAGGAUCUGCCCUCAGGACGGGGACAACGACUGGAAACGGUCGCUAAUACCCGAUGUGCCGAGAGGUGAAAUGUAUUUCGCCUGAGGAUGAGCUCGCGUCUGAUUAGCUAGUUGGAGUGGUAACGGCACACCAAGGCGACGAUCAGUAGCUGGUCUGAGAGGAUGACCAGCCACACUGGGACUGAGACACGGCCCAGACUCCUACGGGAGGCAGCAGUGGGGAAUUUUCCGCAAUGGGCGCAAGCCUGACGGAGCAAGACCGCGUGGGGGAGGAAGGUCUGUGGAUUGUAAACCCCUUUUGUCAAGGAAGAACACAAUGACGGUACUUGACGAAUCAGCAUCGGCUAACUCCGUGCCAGCAGCCGCGGUAAUACGGAGGAUGCAAGCGUUAUCCGGAAUUAUUGGGCGUAAAGCGUCCGCAGGUGGUUAGACAAGUCUGCUGUCAAAGCGCGAGGCUUAACUUCGUAAAGGCAGUGGAAACUGUUUAACUUGAGUGUGAUAGGGGCAGAGGGAAUUCCCAGUGUAGCGGUGAAAUGCGUAGAGAUUGGGAAGAACACCGGUGGCGAAAGCGCUCUGCUGGGUCAUAACUGACACUGAGGGACGAAAGCUAGGGGAGCGAAAGGGAUUAGAUACCCCUGUAGUCCUAGCCGUAAACGAUGGACACUAGGCGUUGACCGUAUCGACCCGGUCAGUGCCGUAGCUAACGCGUUAAGUGUCCCGCCUGGGGAGUACGCUCGCAGAGUGAAACUCAAAGGAAUUGACGGGGCCGCACAGCGGUGGAGUAUGUGGUUUAAUUCGAUGCACGCGAGAUCUUACCAGGCUUGACAUGUUC